rnacentral:tRNA from 1 species
GGCCCGUUAGCUCAGUUGGUAGAGCAAGGGACUCUUAAUCCCUGUGUCAUAGGUUCAAGCCCUAUACGGGUCACCA